AUAACCUGCUUGCUCUUCAAAGAAAAUGUCACUGUGUUUUGGCACUUUUCUCGACAAAAGCAUCACACAAAAAUAUGUGUAGCCAACAAUCUACAGCUCGAGCCAUGGAAGAGAGAGCAAAACUGCAGCUACGAGCGUCAUCCUGCAGCAGCAUGUAACACAACAAGAACCCAUUGAUCACUUCUCAGAUGGGAUACUAUAAAACUAAAACCAGGACAACUCAAGAAGAAAAUACAGUGUAAAAAUGGAGAGAAAACCUCGAGUUCCUUCGAGCAGCUGCCUCUCAUCCCUAGCGCUAAAGCAAGUGACAACUUCUAUCCAUCAACUUCUCCAAUGGCACAUACUGUAUAAGGAGAUGCGUUCCAGAACCAGCUGUGAAAAUCAAAAGUCCCAGAAAAUGAAACAGAAUAUAAAUUAUUAUAGACAUUCAAAUAGCGAAAAGCCCUGGGUGUAUUGUAAGUCAAUUAGAAGUGUGGUUUACCUAGCCAAGCAACACAGUGUUCAACCUCAGAAUUUACGACACGACAUUAACCCGGGGGACAUCAUGCAAAGAGAAACCAACGUGAGUCACGGUUGCACAUGGAUCUCCUGUUCCAUUGUGGUCCAGUACACAAUAUUAAAGCUUUUUAAACUCUCCCCAAUACCUUUAUGCUACAUAAGCCUUUCUUAUUCCCUUCAUAACCAUUCACACACUGUUCUGUCUAUGUAUUGUAACUUUACAGUAAAUAAUAGAACAAACGUGAUAUUGUCACGUGUCCUGACUCCUUCGGAACCUUUAUCAUAGAUGGCAUGUUUUGAUGUGCAAAAGGUGUCUCCGUUUUUCAUUUUCAGAGUCAUUCCUUCAAAGAAAAUAAUGGAGUAGAAGAAAUGCGGUUUAACGUUAAAGGGCAAAUGCAUAAAUAAUGUUGACCCAGCAAAGAUGCUCAUUAUUUUGUACUGCAUGUACUGUU